UACGUAGGGGGCAAGCGUUGUCCGGAAUCAUUGGGCGUAAAGAGCGUGUAGGCGGCCCGGUAAGUCCGCUGUGAAAGUCCAGGGCUCAACCCUGGGAUGCCGGUGGAUACUGUCGGGCUCGAGUCCGGAAGAGGAGUGUGGAAUUCCUGGUGUAGCGGUGAAAUGCGCAGAUAUCAGGAAGAACACCAACGGCGAAGGCAGCUCGCUGGGACGGAACUGACGCUGAGGCGCGAAAGCGUGGGGAGCGAACAGG
rnacentral:rRNA from 1 species